CCAAACAUUUCUCCUUCUGAAUAUAUCCAGAAGUUACUGAAAGAAACUGCACGGAACCAUUUUUUGUAUCUUACGGUUCUUUUUCUUCUUCCAUGGCUCUGUUUCUCUAAGUACUACGUUUCUUCCUCCUUUUGCAGGUUUUCCGUGUGGGUCUUUGGCGCUUGGAUGAAUUCUGGUAUUACAGUGUGUUCACACUAUUCAUGCUUCUCAUGUUCGAGUCAACAAUGGCAAAAAGCCGUCUGAAGACGUUAACCGACCUAGGACGAAUUAGGGUGGACACUCAUGGUGUAUGGAUGUGGACGUUUGUGAUUAAGUAGCACACAAGUUUUCCUUAAAAGAUUGCUUUAAUAUUGCUGUGUCUGAAAAAGUCGAAUUUUAGGUGGGCAAAGCUCUUAGGCACUGGUCUGCUGCCAAGAGAUGUUGUGUCUAUUGGGAGGCAGUCUACUGGUUUAUUCUGGAGGAGAGGAUAAGACAGUACCAGCGGACAUGGUUUUACUUUUCUUAUCACAUGAGCUGGCUUGAAACGUUGCUGUGAGUUGUUGUGGCCUUAGUAUACUCCAGCCCAGAUUGGAAUACAUCUUGGCCCAAGCUAUUGACAAGUCCAUCACUUCUCCUUGUGCUACAAAAUAUCAGAGAAGCAUGUGAAGGAAGCGAGAGUCUGUUACGAACAGUGACUCCACGCAAGAGAGUCAUCUUCUUUGUGUGACUUAGAGAGAGAGAGAAAGAUCAAGAGAGAGAGAGCUUCUCGGUUAUCUCUUUGUAUUCUGAUAUUCUCUUCUCUGUUUCUUCACCUUCUUAUAUCUUGAGAGAUCUAUUGUAAACACCUUCGAUCGGUUUGAUCGGUAAUAAUGGAAAGGCCGAGAGACCUUCUUCUCUCCCGGUGAGUAGCUCUCUUCCACAUCGGAAGAGGAGGUGAACACCGGUCACCAAAAAUCUGCGAACUGAUUGUUGAUACAGGUUGAAUCGGAUAUCAAUUCUCAACAGUUGCGUCAUGACAUUAUAGGAGAAAUCGUCGCCAGAGAAGCUGCUGUCUCAACAAUGGAUUAGUACAACAGCAUCAUUUCAUGCAAGGGGGCUACACAUCUCCUCUAAGGACUAUAUCGUGUCUCCCAAGCAACUAAACCAUCACCAGGGUUUCGGCCGCUUUAUGGAUGCGAUCACAGCGGAACACGUGGAGGAUGGUGAUUAGAUCGACCAAGUGAAAGACAUGCAACUUUUGUAGAAAUAUAUGAGCAGAUAUGACGUGGGCCAACACAAAUCUGACGUGGCAAAAGGUAGACUUUGAUAUAGAUUCUCCAAAAACGCAAGUUGAUAAACUUUAGAAUGUGGCAGCGACCUACGGAACCUUUUUGUUGAAAUUCAAUGGUUUACUGA